AAAAUGACUCUCGGCAACGGAUAUCUCGGCUCUCGCAUCGAUGAAGAACGUAGCGAAAUGCGAUACGUGGUGUGAAUUGCAGAAUCCCGUGAACCAUCGAGUCUUUGAACGCAAGUUGCGCCCAAGGGACCCUCCCGAGGGCACGCCUGCCUCAUGGGCGUUAGAA
rnacentral:rRNA from 1 species